ensembl:lncRNA
CACCAGCAACAUUCUUAAGAGGAAAAUAUAUGCAAAUAAAAAAAAAUUGUACCAGUUUAGAUUCUCUUGAGUAACCCUGAAAAACUAAAAGGGGCAAAUUUUUCAGAAAGUACAAAUAAAAAAUUUAUCUUGUUCAUGCCUACCUUACCAUACCUACUCUUAGAGACACCUAGGCCUCCUUAGCGCUCUGAAGGUCUGAAGAUACUUUCAGCUGAAAGUAUCAGUCCUUCAAUUCCUUUUCAUCCAUCUUCUGGAAAAAGAAAUAGUUUUACUGCUUAGUUUAAACAAUUUUGGUUGCCUUUUACACUUUUACUCAAACUCGUUAAUUGUUGGGGCGCAGUGUGCUCGAGAGCAUGUAGCUAAUGAUUCACUAAUGACCUACGAUGUAAUCUUAGAUGAAAGAAAUAGAUUGAUAAAUACAGGUGCAGUGGUGUGAAUAGUACGCUGCAGUUUAGCAAGGUGUUCUGUAUAUGAAAAUUGCUUGGAAAACACCAUUGUUCUCUGAUACGCUUGGUUACAAGAAACCUGGAUCCUGUAAACAAGUAUACUAUAUAAGGGUCUGUUGUUACAAUAAAGUUGAAGCUGUGCGCACUCACAUUUAGUGGUCGUGCUUCCCCACGCAAGGAGGGCAACCCUUUGGGAAAACUUGGGGCGUUUCCCAACAGUUAAUCUUCAUCUGAAUAAAGAUUCUGUCAUCUUUCAUCUUCGAAGAACCACCGGACCAAUAAUGAACUAAAUCUGUAUGGAUGGUACAGAAUAGCAUAAGAAAAGGACUUAAUACUCAUUUGGGGAAAAAAAUAUGGACUUUCUAAGUAGUAUCUUCUCCCAAGUAUCUUUCCAGUGUUCCGUCAGAAAUUCCUGUCACACAACAGACCAAAGCGAUGCGCCCAAUGACCCCGCCAAAGCUCAAUGGUUUAGCUAGCUCACAAUGACUCUACAGCCAUGUUUUCACUCCAGUGCUUGGGAAGACAUACAGAAGAAGAUACGAGAAAAUCUCUCCAGAAGAGACAACGUGGAAUUCAUCUCUUUGCUUUGCAUAGUCAAUUUACCUCAGCAUGCAUUACCAUGAGAAGUAGCAGGCAGGAUGACAGACAUAUGUGCAUCCGGAGACAAUUUCAGAACCCAGUGACUGCAGCUGUAUGUCUGAAGCCAAAGAAAAUCUGAGGACUCAGUGCAUGCUGGUAUCACCAGCGCUUGACGCCGUGGGCUGCUACAGUACAUGUUGUUUAUGAACAGAGAAGAAGCAUAUAUUCUAAGUAAGAAGUGCUGAGGAUUUAUACAUAAUUGUUAUCUUAAAACUUGAAUCAUUUUUAGUACAGAUCUAAUUGUUGCAGGAAAAAAAUAGCAAUGUCAUUAAAAAAUUGUUAUAUACGCACACGUUCUGGUUUUUACCCCUUUCGCUAAUGUUAUGCUCAUUCUUCUGGGUCCUAAGAUGAGAGGCUUCACUCUGGUUGUGGUGGUAGUUUGUUAAGACAAGUUCUCAACUUAUGGAGUCCUUCACCUCAGAGGAAUAUAAUGUUCAUGUUGAGUGUUUCUUCAUCCUCACUCUAAAGUUCAGUUUUACUUGUUUACUAGCAUGUUUUUACCUCCUUUUGUGUCUUCAUUGAUCUGCAGAUCUAAUUACAUGGGGUCACUUUUCUGAAACCAGAAAUAGAAGAGGUGAUAAAUUCAAUUAACAACAAUAACUGUAAUUGAGAAUUAUUAUGUGAUUAACAAUAAUAACAAUAACAAAAGUCUACAUAUCUGUCAACAGUUUAUGGGCUGGUUUGGCCUGGUUCUGUGACUAAUGGGGCAGGGGGACCCCUGGACCCAUGGCCCAGGAAAGGGGAAAACAGGAAAGGGUGGGGAGAUGGGCCAAAAAAAAACCAAAACAAUGGCAACGAUCUGAGGAGGAAAGGCUAAUUUACUAAAACAAAUAAUAUUGGAAUGCAAGAUAAUAUAAAAUAUAAUUGAAAUUGAAGCUAAUUAAAUAAAAUGAGAGUGUCCAAAAACCA